AGAAAUUUAGUUAAAUAUAUAACAUUAAUAUGUCAUAUUAAAAUUAUUAUUAUAUUAAUAAUUUCUA
rnacentral:tRNA from 1 species